UACGUAGGGGGCUAGCGUUGUCCGGAAUCAUUGGGCGUAAAGAGCGUGUAGGCGGUCCGGUAAGUCCGCUGUGAAAGUCGGGGGCUCAACCCUCGAAUGCCGGUGGAUACUGUCGGGCUAGAGUGCGGAAGAGGCGAGUGGAAUUCCUGGUGUAGCGGUGAAAUGCGCAGAUAUCAGGAAGGACACCCGUGGCGAAAGCGGCUACCUGGCCCAUUCUUGACGCUGAGGCGCGAAAGCUAGGGGAGCAAACGGG
rnacentral:rRNA from 1 species